rnacentral:tRNA from 1 species
AGGUGAGUAAGUUAAAUUAUAAACUAUGGGGUUCAUGUCCCCACAAAAUACUAAAUGUAUCUUACCGA